UCAAUCAAAAUCUGUACAAGUUGUCAACUUUAGACAGAAAGUAUUUAAUGGUUUUAUUGCCGGUCAUUUAGAGUGAUUGUUUUUCCUGAGUGUGUUUUAUGUCAAGCGUAUGGUGUCAUGUUUAAUGACGGCUCGUGUUUCGACAUUUACUGUUUAUUGACAUUUGAUGUCAGAUCUCAACCAUCCUCCCACCUUUGCUCGCCCCGUGCGCUUCUCAAUACUGACUUUCACACCGCGGGUGUGUUGUUGAAUCUAAAGUUUUGCAACAGCAUAAGUUUAUUUAAAGGCAAGCACUAAUCAUAUAUAUAUAUAUAUUAGAUGUACCUGGCUACGCUUAAAGCCGAUGUUUUCUAUCGAGCUAUAGUUUCUGAUCAGACACAAAGUCUGAACUAAAUAAAAUUUUAAACGGUUCACGAAGUCCGGGAAUCUUUUCAUGACCUGGUCUACAGUUUCACGCGUAUUAAAGAUCCGGCGGUGUCUGACAAAGCCUCGGGUGAUUGUUCAUAUCUGUCAUUUAAAAUAAAGUUAAUAAAUGUAAUUCUGUCCACUAUGGCAAAAUAGGAAUUUAUUUUAGAUUAGGGGAAUCUUUAACCAUGUCUCUGAUUAAAACUUUUGAUUGUAACAUCACAAGUUAUUUAAUUAAAUAUUCUGUAUACGGGUAUAGUUUAAGCAAUGACCUGAGCCAUUACCUUCGGAGCCGUCAAUACUACAUUCUUUAGACGAUAGUCUAAACUAAAUAAAUUUUUAAACGGUUCAGGAAUUCCGUGAAUCUUUUCAUAACCUGCACUAUAGUUUCACGCGUAUUAAAGAUCCGGCGGUGCCUGACAAAGCGCCGGGUGAGUGUUCAUAUCUGCCAUUUUAAAAUAAUGUUAAUAAAUGUAAUUCUGUCCACUAUGGCAAAAUAGGAUUUUAUUUUAGAUUUAGUGGAAUCUUUAACCAAGUCUCUGAUUAAGACAUAUGUAUACGUGCACAGAUGGUGACAGAGAAACUUAUAUAUGACGUUAAUAAUCUUUUAAAUGUUUUUAAGACGUAUUCACCCCAUUUUGGGGUUUUAUUUUUAAUUAAAGGCUUCUUAAAACAUGUGUGAAUAUGUGUAUAUUAUACAAAGAGUCUUAUAUUGUCUGCUCUGACAAAAAUAAAGUAUUUUUUAGGUUUAGGGGAAUUGACUGCGUGUGUCUUAUAAAUACAACUUGAUAAUACGUUUGUUUUGUAAAGAGACUUCUUUAAAGUCACGCAAGAAUAAAAUAUUUUAGUUGUAACUGGUUAAACUUAAAGCCGAUAUUUUCUAUCGAACUAGUCUAUUUUCUGUUCAGACACAAAGUUUUCUGAUGCUGAUAUUAUGUCAGUGUGUUUGUGUGGGGGUCGUGUGAUGUAAUCUUUGAAAGUUUAUGACCGAACCUUUAUUGGGGAGCGACAAGAGAUCUCCCGGAAUCAGUUUGGAUGGAGCAGAGCUGUUAUACUCAAGUCUAUUGGUAUGUAUGUGUUUCGCUGUGUUCGUUCCAGUAUUUUGUAUGAUUUAUUUAAAAACUAAAAAUUCGAUCUCUGGUAUUGCAGCGAAAUUGUCUAAACUGGUAUUAACUAUUCCUGGUAAAUCGCGGAGAAGAGUGGCCUGAACAAAAAAGUCAGACCGAGACUAGAACCUCCCGCAGCGUAACAUGGAAAUCUUGGAACAAAAGAGACGCCGACUGGCUCGUGUUGUCCGGUUUGGAUAUCAGAGGCAAAGCGAACGUUGUGUGUACUAUUGCAAAAUAUAUAGCGGAUCUCCACGGUUAGGAUACAGACCACAACGCUUUGGACGUAUCUUUAAAAAAGAUUAAAAUCAGAGACUUUUUGGAUUUGUCUGGGGACAUUUUAAACAUUUUGUGGCAAAUUGGAUUUAAAACAUUUCGGAUACUGGAUACCUAGUUUGAUUUGUCCACAGAGCUUGUUUAAGACGUUUUCACCGCAUUUUAGGGUUUAUUUUUAAUUAAAGGCUUCUUAAAACAUGUGUGAAAAUGUGUAUAUUAUACAAUGAGUCUUAUAUUGUCUGCUCUGACAUAAAUAAAUUUUUAUAUUAGAUUUUA